UGGGGAAUAUUGGACAAUGGGCGAAAGCCUGAUCCAGCAAUGCCGCGUGAGUGGUGAAGGCCUUAGGGUUGUAAAGCUCUUUUACCCGGGAUGAUAAUGACAGUACCGGGAGAAUAAGCCCCGGCUAACUCCGUGCCAGCAGCCGCGGUAAUACGGAGGGGGCUAGCGUUGUUCGGAAUUACUGGGCGUAAAGCGCACGUAGGCGGCUUUGUAAGUUAGAGGUGAAAGCCUGGAGCUCAACUCCAGAACUGCCUUUAAGACUGCAUCGCUUGAAUCCAGGAGAGGUGAGUGGAAUUCCGAGUGUAGAGGUGAAAUUCGUAGAUAUUCGGAAGAACACCAGUGGCGAAGGCGGCUGUCUGGUCCGGUUCUGACGCUGAGGCGCGAAAGCGUGGGGAGCAAAC
rnacentral:rRNA from 1 species